rnacentral:rRNA from 1 species
CCCUUAGAUGUUCUGGGCUGCACGCGCGCUACACUGAUGCGUUCAACGAGCAUACAACCUUGCCCGGUAGGGUUGGGUAAUCUUUUGAAAACGCAUCGUGAUGGGGAUAGAUUAUUGUAAUUAUUAAUCUUCAACGAGGAAUUCCUAGUAAGUGCGAGUCAUCAGCUCGCGCUGAUUACGUCCCUGCCCUUUGUACACACCGCCCGUCGCUCCUACCGAUUGAGUGGUCCGGUGAAUAAUUUGGACUGGUGUCUUAUUCGGUUCUCCGAGUUCGACGCUGGAAAAUCUAGUAAACCUUAUCACUUAGAGGAAGGAGAAGUCGUAACA